rnacentral:tRNA from 3 species
UGCGGGUGUAAGCCACCGGUAGACAGCGAGGCUCAUAACCUCGCAGCACGCGGUUCGAUUCCGCGCCCCGCAACCA